AGCUGGUCCGAUGGCAGUGGGUUAUCAGAACUUAUUAAGAUUAGUGUCACUAAGGUUGGUAUUACCCCCCCCACUGCUAAAUUUGACUGGCUUAAA
ensembl:misc_RNA Y_RNA Y RNA